UCUCCCUCCCUCUCUUCCUCUCUUAUGGUUGUUGCUUCCCCUAGGGCCGCCACAGUUGUCGUCGCUCCACCUCUGCCACCAUUGUUGUUGCUCUGCCUCCACCUUCGCCACCGUUCCUCUUUGACCUCCGUCGGGCCACGAUCUCUCGGGUAUGGCUCUCUCUCUCUCAUAGUCGACCUGUAGGUUGCCUCCAUCGCUGCACCACUGUCGCCAUCACUGCGUCGCCGUCGCUCUGCCUCCGCCUCCACCAAAGUCUGUCGGGCCGUGAUCUCUUAGGUAUGGCUCUCUCUCUCUCAGUCCACCUGUAGGUCGCCGUCACUGCACAGCCACUGGCGUCCGCUUCCAUCUCGGUACCCAUCUCUCUCUCUCUAUGUGGGAUUUACGUGAGAGUUGGA
rnacentral:lncRNA from 1 species